UACGUAGGGGGCAAGCGUUGUCCGGAAUCAUUGGGCGUAAAGAGCGCGUAGGCGGCCCUGUAAGUCCGCUGUGAAAGUCAAGGGCUCAACCCUUGAAUGCCGGUGGAUACUGCAGGGCUAGAGUCCGGAAGAGGCGAGUGGAAUUCCUGGUGUAGCGGUGAAAUGCGCAGAUAUCAGGAGGAACACCGGUGGCGAAGGCGGGUCUCUGGGCCGAUACUGACACUGAGGAGCGAAAGCGUGGGGAGCGAACAGG
rnacentral:rRNA from 1 species